UAAGAGGUCCCGCCUGCCCUGUGACUAUAUGUUUAACGGCCGCGGUAUUUUAACCGUGCGAAGGUAGCGCAAUCACUUGUCUUUUAAAUGAAGACCUGUAUGAAUGGCAUAACGAGGGCUUAACUGUCUCCUUUUCUAAGUCAAUGAAAUUGAUCUUUCCGUGCAGAAGCGGGAAUAAUAUCAUAAGACGAGAAGACCCUAUGGAGCUUUAGACAAAAGGUAGAUCAUACUAAAUACCCUAAACAAAGGCUUAAAAUAAAAGAAUACUACCCUUAUGUCUUCGGUUGGGGCGACCGCGGGGCACAUAAAACCCCCACGUGGACUGAGAGAACUUUUAUCUCACCUCCCAAAACUAAGAGCCCCCACUCUAGUAAACAGAACUUCUGACCAAAAAUGAUCCGGCAACGCCGAUCAACGGACCAAGUUACCCUAGGGAUAACAGCGCAAUCCCCUUUUAGAGUUCAUAUCGACAAGGGGGUUUACGACCUCGAUGUUGGAUCAGGACAUCCUAAUGGUGCAGCCGCUAUUAAGGGUUCGUUUGUUCAACG
rnacentral:rRNA from 1 species